GCAUUUUUUCAGCCGGCAAAACUGACAGCGGUUCCGGUGGUGUUUAUUGAUGAUGCAGUCUUGAUUGCUCCGGCAGCUGUAGGUCAAAUUUUUCCUUACGCUCCUUUUGAAGAAACCUUUGCAACCUUCACAACUGACAGCCCCAUAGUGACGGCCUGAAAGAGAAAGGACCACAAAGUAUCCAAAGUUCCUACGAAUGUAGUGACCACAGAAUAAAGCAGAACCAAGUGGUCAUCUCAGAACUCAGGUCUUACUUGGAUCCUGCCAGGGACGAGGUUGUCCGAGGUGGUGAAUAUGAGC